CGGAUGGGGUGGAGGUGGUGGUGAGAACCUUUGCAAGUGGGUUGGGGUUGGUUGCUUGGAUGGGAGAGUCAUGGAUCUGUCUUUCAGUAGUUCAGCAGUGCAAUCUUGAUUUUAUUCUGUUGUCUGAAGAAGGAGAAGAAGAAGGAGAGUUUGAUACCCAGGAGCACAUAUUGGAAAGUUGUUUUGAUGCCAAAGUUUAAAAUUUUUUACUGUGUUUUUAUACUUCAUAAUAUAGUUUGUCAAAAA